rnacentral:rRNA from 1 species
UCCAGACUCCUACGGGAGGCAGCAGUGGGGAAUAUUGCACAAUGGGGGAAACCCUGAUGCAGCGACGCCGCGUGAGUGAAGAAGUAUUUCGGUAUGUAAAGCUCUGUCAGCAGGGAAGAAGAAAGACGGUACCUGACCAAGAAGCCCCGGCUAACUACGUGCCAGCAGCCGCGGUAAUACGUAGGGGGCAAGCGUUAUCCGGAUUUACUGGGUGUAAAGGGAGCGUAGACGGCGAUGCAAGCCAGAUGUGAAAGCCCGGGGCUCAACCCCGGGACUGCAUUUGGAACUGUGUGGCUGGAGUGUCGGAGAGGCAGGCGGAAUUCCUAGUGUAGCGGUGAAAUGCGUAGAUAUUAGGAGGAACACCAGUGGCGAAGGCGGCCUGCUGGACGAUGACUGACGUUGAGGCUCGAAAGCGUGGGGAGCAAACAGGAUUAGAUACCCGAGUAGUC